AGUGAACGCUGGCGGGAUGCCUAACACAUGCAAGUCGAACGAGUGGCGGACGGAUGAGGACUACACCGGACUCUACUCUGUCGUGAGGUAUAACGUAGGGAAACUUACGCUAAUACCGCAUACGAUUGAAUGAGCCGAUGUCGGAUUAGCUAGUUGGCGGGGUAAAGGCCCACCAAGGCGACGAUCCGUAGCUGGUCUGAGAGGAUGAUCAGCCACACUGGAACUGAGACACGGUCCAGAAGCCUACGGGAGGCAGCAGUGGGGAAUAUGGGACAAUGGGCGCAAGCCUGAUCCAGCCAUACCGCGUGGGUGAAGAAGGCCUUCGGGUUGUAAAGCACUUUUGGUAGGAAAGCGGUACCCACAGAAUAAGCACCGGCUAACUUCGUGCCAGCAGCCGCGGUAAUUC
rnacentral:rRNA from 1 species